AAUGUAUGACGCCGUUGACUUUUUAUCCAACGUUUGAUCAUUCGUCUUAUUUAAAAAAUUUAUGUAAUUAUCAUUUAUUUUAUUAUGAGUUGAUUCGUCAUCAAAUGUUCUUCAAGCAUGACAUAAAUAUUUUUAUAUUUACACAAAAUUUUUAAAUAAAACGAAUGGUCAAACGUUGAUAAAAAGUCA
rnacentral:pre_miRNA from 1 species